rnacentral:rRNA from 1 species
UACAGAGGGGGCAAGCGUUGUUCGGAAUUACUGGGCGUAAAGGGCGCGUAGGCGGCCUGUUAAGUCGAACGUGAAAUCCCCGGGCUCAACCCGGGAACUGCGUCCGAUACUGGCAGGCUUGAAUCCGGGAGAGGGAUGCGGAAUUCCAGGUGUAGCGGUGAAAUGCGUAGAUAUCUGGAGGAACACCGGUGGCGAAGGCGGCGA